CAGCAGCCGCCGCGGGAAUACGAAGGGUGCAAGCGUUACUCGGAAUUACUGGGCGUAAAGCGUGCGUAGGUGGUGGUUUAAGUCCGUUGUGAAAGCCCUGGGCUCAACCUGGGAAUUGCAGUGGAUACUGGGUCACUAGAGUGUGGUAGAGGAUAGUGGAAUUUCCGGUGUAGCAGUGAAAUGCGUAGAGAUCGGGAGGAACAUCAGUGGCGAAGGCGGCCAUCUGGGACAACACUGACGCUGAGGCACGAAAGCGUGGGGAGCAAACAGGAUUAGAUACCCGUGUAGUCCCUGUCUCUUAUAA
rnacentral:rRNA from 1 species